AGCAAAUUGUUGAUUUAGAAUAGUAACUAAUAUGAAGCUUAUAGAAAGUAACUGGUUGAUGGAAAGUUAUAGCGAAUUAUUAGUGAAUGGGCUAAAGAGAGAUUCUUCGAAAUUUUUCUAGUAGAAGAAUACGGGAUUUCCACCGUUAUCAAUGGAACGUGUAUGAUAGUACAUGAAUAUAUCUAUUUUUAUAGGUGGCAUAGCAAGAUUAUAACUCUUGUCCUAUUU
rnacentral:ncRNA from 1 species